CGUUUACAAAUAUGUCAAACAAAGAAAUAUGGUUAAAGUGUAAGUGAUCUGUUUACUUGCUUGAAAUAAAAGUCAAUUAAUAGUUAUUAACAUAAAAAAUAAUUAGUUAGGAAAAUUAAUGGGUAGUUGACAUGCAUAACGUAGAAAUAGAAGAUUUUUACCACCACGACUUCACCACAGCUUCCGAGUGGGAAGUAUUUAUCGCCCGUCUGGAAGAAAUAAUUCACGAGUGGAAACUUCCUCACUCAAAACUCGAACCAGCCUUGAAAUCUGGAGACUUUGUCAAUUUAACUUGGGAAGUCAAGUCCGAAGAAUUGAAUUUCGCAAAUUACCCCUUUUUGUUCAAGCAUUUUAAGCUCAAAACAAGUGAUUCUACUGAUAAGAUCGACUCAGAGACUUCUGACGAGGAUUCUAGCACUCAAAGUCACAUUGAUGUUCUCAAUAUCGCCAAUGACUUUGCACGUGUCGAUCAAGAUUAUCUGGAGAUAGCCCGAUAUUAUGGAAUACGUGAGUUUGUGCUUUUGACUCCAGCGAAAAAAAUUUCUAUCUCUGAUGAAACGAGGAUUAAAAUCCUUGUCAGUUCGUUGACAAUCGCAUCCACCAAUUCUAACAGUGAAGUUCCAGCUUUAGUUCAAGUACAAGAACCAUGGCAAAAAUAUUAUUUGGGUGUCAGUGUUGGCAAGGGAACAAUUACUCACCUGGAUAUGGUUCAUUUAAAAAAAACUCCACCACAUUGUCGUCAUCUUACUGGAUUAUUGGCGUUAUUUAAGCAAAAGAUAGGUGAAGGUUCUGGAGUGAGAUUAGAUCCAGUGAUGGUAUCUAUUCGGUUUACAUACUUGCUCAAAGACUGGUUAACGGAGCCGCAUUUUGAUUUCAUGAAAGGAAAACCAGUGACUAAUAACGAGCUUGGUAAGCUUCCUUUUGGAGCUGAAGUAGAUCCAGUGUCAGAACUUCAAGUUUACGCUACAUGGCCUCAAAUGUCUGAGAAUAUCGUGGUAGACAGCGAAAGUUUUACGGAUUUGGAGCCUCAAUUAGCCACGGAAUGGUCGGCGAGAGUGAAAAUGGUCGCUACACCGCCUAGCUUGCUUGAAGAGCACCUGAAAGGUUUUUUAAACCUCUGCAAUAACCAGAAAUUGCUGGUCGACAUACUGGGAGACGCGUAUGUCGACAACGACCAAAUGUUGAGCUCGGCAUUCAAUAUUGUCACGGAGUCAAAAAUUCCUACGAUAUCCAAAGUCAUGAGUCGCGCGUCUUCUAAAAAGAGUAACAAAAAUGACGGACCCAUUCCUGAUGACACUUUGAUGCUGAUUCUGUACUAUUUAUUCCCUGACGCGGACGAACAAUCGAAAGCAAUGUAUGAUGAGAUUGGGUCGAAUAUUGAUGAAGAUUUAUGGAAAGGCAUCAAAACGUGUGCCCUGGACUCUCUGGUUUGGAGACUUGCGAUUGUAACUGCUCAUUGCAGACAAAAUCUCGGAGGUAUUCAAGCCGUAGCUCAAAUUUGGCACGAGUUUGUUCAAGAAAUGCGGUAUCGAUGGGACGAGAGUAUUCUCAUUCCUGGCGUGGGAACUGGGUUUCCGGACUCUGUACGAACGUGUUUGCUACACCAGAAAUUGCAGAUGAUUAACUGCUGCAUCGAGCGAAAAAAGCGCCGCAACGAGUUCGACUUAAAGCCGCUAAAUAUUGUCGACCAUUUUGACUCCGCAGAAGAAGAAUCAGAGGAAGAAUUUUUCGAGUGCGAAGAAGAAGCUUCGGUCCAAGAAGUGCAAGUUCACCGAAAAACUAAGCACUUACUGUGGAACAAACCAACAGGUCGCCUGUCGAAGCAUCCGUCUUUGAAGUUGCUGAAAACUGGGGACGCUUUGUAUUUGCCGGUGACCCAGGACCCGGUCCCCAAGACCGAGGACCAGCUGGAGGAGGACGCGCAGCUGAUGAUGCAGCUAGGAACUGACAAACAAGGCUCUGAAAUGCGUGCCAGGCUGAUGAGCGCUUCACUUUUGUCGGACAUGGAGUCCUUCAAGGCAGCUAAUCCCGGAUCGGAACUCGAAGAUUUCAUACGCUGGUACUCGCCGAGAGACUGGAUCGAGGAGGAAGGUACCGAUCAAUGGGGACAGAUUAAUGGACAUUUAUCGCCGCGAAUGAAGAUUCCGAAUAACCCGUGGGCGACCACCUGGAACUCGGCCCAACCUGUACCAGCUCAUCGCCAAAAGCGACUUUUUGAUGACACCAAGGAAGCUGAGAAGACUAUCCAGUUUUUAGCGUGCAGGCGCAUUGGGGAAAUUUGCCAACUCCUGAUGCCUGUGCUAGCUCAUGCGGCUCUACAAGCACUUGCUCAACAUAAGCAACAGGCAAUUGCUAAAUUACCGGACAUAAUUAACGGAAUUACUACAAAGUUACAACGCGCCACCAAGUCUUUUCAUCUACAGACUCAUAUUUAUGAUGACAUCAUCGAUGAAAUAUCUACAAUAAAGGCCCUUUUGACGCAGUACAAUUCACUGAACAAUAAAUUCCCGGGAGAAAAUGAAGAAACAACAGCUUUCAUUAUAAAUCUAAUGGAAGGAAAAGAAGUUUCAAUUUCUGGUGGCGCGCGAAGUCUUCCAGGAUUGAGAAUAACAGAAAUGUUUCGUAAUAGCCAAAAAGCUACUUAUAUGGUGGACAUUCCAAGCAGCGGUUCCGGUAGGACUGGAGCUGGAAAUGAAAAGCAAAAGACGUUCCCCGAGCCCUCGUCCAAGGAAUUUAUCCUUCGAGGAGUGACACCCCGGCCUUCUCCGACCUCAGCACCGCAACCUCAGCGGCUGUAUGUCAAUCUUAAGAGAGAAUCCAUCAGACUCGCGGGAUUUUUCUCUGAAGAUACAACCUUUUUAUAAAUAGUUAUUAGUCAUUAUUGAUGGGCAUAAGUGUUGGAUAUCACGAUGUCCAAAUGACUUUCAAUCUUCACACUCUUCGGUGAUUUAUUGAGAAAUCUAAUUAUCUUUUCGAAAGUGUGAGGACUGAAGUUCAUCGAUGUGUUCAGAAAUUCAAAAGUUCGGAGGCAGGUUCCUCGGGUCUUUUUAUCAGGACUAAUUUUUAUUAAUGCACUGGUUCAUUAUUGCACGAUAAUUAUCAAUUUUCAAAAUUUUUAUUUCACUUUUGUCCUCUGAUAAAAAAAUAUCUAUAUUUUUA
rnacentral:misc_RNA from 1 species